UUCCUACGGGACGCAGCAGUAGGGAAUCUUCCACAAUGGGCGAAACCCUGAUGCAGCAACGCCGCGUGAGUGAAGAAGUAUUUCGGUAUGUAAAGCUCUAUCAGCAGGGAAGAAGAUGACGGUACCUGAGUAAGAAGCCCCGGCUAACUACGUGCCAGCAGCCGCGGUAAUACGUAGGGGGCAAGCGUUAUCCGGAUUUACUGGGUGUAAAGGGAGCGUAGACGGUGAGACAAGUCUGAAGUGAAAGCCCGGGGCUCAACCCCGGGACUGCUUUGGAAACUGCCUGACUGGAGUGUUGGAGAGGG
rnacentral:rRNA from 1 species